rnacentral:rRNA from 1 species
UACGAAGGGGGCUAGCGUUGUUCGGAUUUACUGGGCGUAAAGCGCGUGUAGGCGGGUCGUUAAGUUGGGGGUGAAAUCCCGGAGCUCAACUCCGGAACUGCCUUCAAAACUGGCGACCUGGACCUAAGUAGAGGCAAGUGGAAUUGCGAGUGUAGAGGUGAAAUUCGUAGAUAUUCGCAGGAACACCAGUGGCGAAGGCGACUUGCUGGACUUAUGGUGACGCUGAGACGCGAAAGCGUGGGGAGCAAACAGG